CGGAGGGAUCAUUACCGAGUUUACAACUCCCAAACCCCUGUGAACAUACCUUAAUGUUGCCUCGGCGGAUCAGCCCGCGCCCCGUAAAACGGGACGGCCCGCCAGAGGACCCAAACUCUAAUGUUUCUUAUUGUAACUUCUGAGUAAAACAAACAAAUAAAUCAAAACUUUCAACAACGGAUCUCUUGGUUCUGGCAUCGAUGAAGAACGCAGCAAAAUGCGAUAAGUAAUGUGAAUUGCAGAAUUCAGUGAAUCAUCGAAUCUUUGAACGCACAUUGCGCCCGCUGGUAUUCCGGCGGGCAUGCCUGUUCGAGCGUCAUUUCAACCCUCAAGCCCCCGGGUUUGGUGUUGGGGAUCGGCUCUGCCUUCUGGCGGUGCCGCCCCCGAAAUACAUUGGCGGUCUCGCUGCAGCCUCCAUUGCGUAGUAGCUAACACCUCGCAACUGGAACGCGGCGCGGCCAUGCCGUAAAACCCCAACUUCUGAAUGUUGACCUCGGAUCAGGUAGGAAUACCCGCUGAACUUAAGCAUAUCAAUAAGCGGAGGAAAAGAAACCAACAGGGAUUGCCCUAGUAACGGCGAGUGAAGCGGCAACAGCUCAAAUUUGAAAUCUGGCUUUCGGGCCCGAGUUGUAAUUUGUAGAGGAUACUUUUGAUGCGGUGCCUUCCGAGUUCCCUGGAACGGGACGCCAUAGAGGGUGAGAGCCCCGUCUGGUUGGAUGCCAAAUCUCUGUAAAGUUCCUUCGACGAGUCGAGUAGUUUGGGAAUGCUGCUCUAAAUGGGAGGUAUAUGUCUUCUAA
rnacentral:rRNA from 1 species